rnacentral:sRNA from 1 species
CUUCUAGAUGCAGUGAAGACUUGCGGCCUUAUCAACUCUGUGAAGUUCUACCAAGCCUCAACAAGUGAACUUUAUGGCAAAGUGCAGGAAAUACCCCAGAAGGAGACCACCCCUUUCUAUCCCCGCUCACCCUAUGGGGCAGCAAAACUCUAUGCCUAUUGGAUUGUGGUGAACUUCCGUGAGGCGUAUAAUCUCUUUGCAGUGAAUGGCAUUCUCUUCAAUCAUGAGAGUCCCAGAAGAGGUCAGUAAAUAUAUUAACUGAAAAGAGAAUUUCAGACUUGAACAACAACAAGUUGCAUGUAUAUUUGGUGUAUGUACUGCAGAGACUGAAAAAUUUCCUAUCUGUAUCUAAUUAUUAUGAAUGUCAGAGCAGCAAAUGAAGAAAUGUAUACCAGCCU